UUCCGGUUGAUCCUGCCGGAGGCUACCGCUAUUGGAGUUCGAUUAAGCCAUGCGAGUCGAGGGUCUUAGGGACUCGGCGUACCGCUCAGUAACACGUGGGUAACCUGCCCUAUGCUGGGGAAUAACCUCGGGAAACUGAGAAUAAUGCCCCAUAGUCCACCAUGCCUGGAACGGUUGGUGGAUCAAAGCUCCGGCGGCAUAGGAUGGGCCUGCGGCGUAUCAGGUCGUAGGGGGUGUAACGUACCCUCUAGCCAUCGACGCGUACGGGUGUUGGGAGACAUAGCCCGGAGAUGGAUUCUGAGACACGAAUCCAGACCCUACGGGGUGCAGCAGGCGCGAAAACUUGGCAAUGCGAGAAAUCGUGACCAGGGAACUCCAAGUGGCUGGGGUAAGACCCAGUCUUUUCUUGACUCUUCAACGGUCUUGGAAUAAGGGGUGGGUAAGGACGGUGCCAGCCGCCGCGGUAAUACCGGCGCCUCAAGUGGUAGUCGAUUUUAUUGGGCCUAAAACGUCCGUAGCCUGUUUGGUACAUUCGUGGGUAAAUCAACCAGCUCAACUGAUUGAAUUCUGCGAGCACGGCCAGACUUGGGACCGGGAGAGGUGUGGGGUACGCUCAGGGUAGGGGUAA
rnacentral:rRNA from 1 species